CUGGCAUUCAAUGUGGAUAAGUGCAUAUAAUAAGAUAAUGCAUAUUGGACAUAAAAACCCAUGGACAGAGUAUAGAACACUUGAGAGUCUUAACCUCAACAUCUGAGGAAAGGCCCGCGGGGCAAGUCCAUACCUCUUAUACCCUGCCCCUCGUGCCCCAGCCCUGUACACCUUCUUCUACCACAUCACACCAACUUCUCUUUGGCAGGAGAAUGCACAACCCUUUCCUUCCCUUCUUCUAACUCACAUUCUUUACCUUCAUACAUACCUAUACACACUGAUAGACUGAUUCUUGUACCUACUACUUACGCACCCACAUUCUGGUGGCAGCUAACCUCCGUGAGCAAACGUGACGUAACUGGCUAAUAGAGCAGCUUCCCGCAAACUCUGUAUAGACACAACAAUGCAUUUGUGGGGGCAGGCUCCCGAGAGCCCACUGUUAGGAUAACUGGGACGGAUAAGAUUGUGAGACACGUCCUAGCUGUCGUUUCCACACCACAACUCGAGUCUGAUGAACAGUAUUGAACCUGGUGAUAUACUGUGGGGCUUAAUACUUUGUAAAUAAUACCUGACCUUAACGUUGUUUCGCGAUUGUCACGCCUGAUAUGACAUAUGAUAUUAGUAAUGCCCCAAGGAAAGGGGGAACUGGAAGGAACAAGCGCUCAUGAGAAGGGCGAAAGGUUGCAAGGCAUGACCCUAAGAUGGGGCGUGAGCGGAUGCAUUGUGCUAUGUAGAGAUUAAUGUUUAACCCCUCAAGGACACCGCUUCAGAAGCUUGUCUUACGCUUA